rnacentral:rRNA from 1 species
AAUACAUCGGAAUCUACUUUUUCGUGGGGGAUAACGUAGGGAAACUUACGCUAAUACCGCAUACGACCUACGGGUGAAAGCAGGGGAUCUUCGGACCUUGCGCGAUUGAAUGAGCCGAUGUCGGAUUAGCUAGUUGGCGGGGUAAAGGCCCACCAAGGCGACGAUCCGGAACUUGGCCUGAAAGGAUGAUCAGCCACACUGGAACUGAGACACGGUCCAGACUCCUACGGGAGGCAGCAGUGGGGAAUAUUGGACAAUGGGCGCAAGCCUGAUCCAGCCAUACCGCGUGGGUGAAGAAGGCCUUCGGGUUGUAAAGCCCUUUUGUUGGGAAAGAAAUCCAGCUGGUUAAUACCCGGUUGGGAUGACGGUACCCAAAGAAUAAGCACCGGCUAACUUCGUGCCAGCAGCCGCGGUAAUACGAAGGGUGCAAGCGUUACUCGGAAUUACUGGGCGUAAAGCGUGCGUAGGUGGUCGUUUAAGUCCGUUGUGAAAGCCCUGGGCUCAACCUGGGAACUGCAGUGGAUACUGGGCGACUAGAAUGUGGUAGAGGGUAGCGGAAUUCCUGGUGUAGCAGUGAAAUGCGUAGAGAUCAGGAGGAACAUCCAUGGCGAAGGCAGCUACCUGGACCAACAUUGACACUGAGGCACGAAAGCGUGGGGAGCAAACAGGAUUAGAUACCUGGUAGUCCACGCCCUAAACGAUGCGAACUG